GACGAACGCUGGCGGCGUGCUUAACACAUGCAAGUCGAACGGAAAGGCCCUGCUUGCCGGGUACUCGAGUGGCGAACGGGUGAGUAACACGUGGGUGAUCUGCCCUGCACUUCGGGAUAAGCCUGGGAAACUGGGUCUAAUACCGGAUAGGAGCCAUUUUUAGUGUGAUGGUUGGAAAGUUUUUUCGGUGUAGGAUGAGCUCGCGGCCUAUCAGCUUGUUGGUGGGGUAAUGGCCUACCAAGGCGGCGACGGGUAGCCGGCCUGAGAGGGUGGACGGCCACAUUGGGACUGAGAUACGGCCCAGACUCCUACGGGAGGCAGCAGUGGGGAAUAUUGCACAAUGGGCGCAAGCCUGAUGCAGCGACGCCGCGUGGGGAAUGACGGCCUUCGGGUUGUAAACGCCUUUCGCUAGGGACGAAGCUUUUUGUGACGGUACCUAGAUAAGAAGCACCGGCUAACUACGUG
rnacentral:rRNA from 1 species